GAUAAGAGAAAAUUGUUUUUCUUUUGCUGUAUUUUAAUUGAAUCUGUGUAGUUAUGAGAUUAAUAACUGAAAGAUUAUGCUUUUCUGAUGGAUGCUGUAUGGUGGCCAGGAUUUUGGCGUCCUAAAACUGUUACUCAGGCAACCCAUUUGCUUUUCUUGAUAUAUAUAUAUAUUUUUUUGGGUAAUUAGGGAUAGGGUUUUCGGCUUUUAUUUCUUCUUGUUGUUUAUCUUGUUCCAUUGGUUUUGAUCCCGGAAUGGAAAGAAAGAGAUGUGGGAAUACCGGUGAUGACAGCAGAAAGGCUUGAGUGACAACAACAAGUAUUGCGCUCCCCAGUUUUGGGGGUUGUUGUUUGCUAGGAUUAAUGUGCCAAAAUGCUAAUCUGAGAGGGAAGAAAGAACAAUGGAAAUGCCGGUGAUGACAGUAGAAAGGCAUGAGCGGCAACAACAAAUGUUGCGCUCCCCAGUUUUGGGGGUUGUUGUUAGCUAGGAUUCAUGUGCCAAAAUGCUAAUCUGAGGCAUUUGAUAGUUUUGGUUUUGAUACCCGAGCAGAUUGUUUGCCAGCAUUCAGAUUUGUACCAAAAGUGAAGGAGCUUGUUUAAUGAUUGCUAAUUGCAUGCUUAUGGUGCUUUAGGGACAGGUACAUGGUCGUGUCUUUACACGACCUAACUGAUCAUGAUGUUGCGAUAAGGUUCACUCCAAGUUAACUAUUUUGGCUUGAAAAAUCUACCAAAGAAGCGCAAAAAUACAAGCCUCUAUUAACUCCUUGAACAUAAGCCUUUUGAAAUGGGAACAAUUUUCCAGAGAUGUGAAGCAAAAACCUGACAGAAAGAUUGGGAGGGAGCUCUGGCAGACAGCAGACGUGAAAUUAGCAGCUGAAAAGGCUCCACAGGUAUGCUUUUCCUAUUUUCUUCUGAAAAUUUUAUCAUUGCUUGCUUCACGUACUAUGCCGACGUAGUAAUUCUAAGCUAUCACAAAGACCCAGGCAACAACCUAUGAAAACAUUUCCCACUUGCUUCAGGUUCAUGUUGCUUUGACAAAGAUUCUGUCGAUACAUUUGGUUUGGUUACCAGAAGGCUCCAAAAGCUGGUACACCUAUUUUGGUUAAAGCCUCAAUCAGUGUAAAGCAAUGUUUCUUCCAUGUUCCUGAUUCUAUUGUGUAUCUGAGGUGACAACACUACCUGAUUGGGAAUUUGAUUUAUGGGAAAUUAUUACACCUUGCCCCACCUUAGAAUCUGAAUUCAUAUUGCAAUUAGCUCCCUGUCACCUCAAGACAACAAUGGGGGUCAGGGAGACAUUUGAAAAAGCCUAUUUGUUCUUU